rnacentral:SRP_RNA from 1 species
GCCGGGUGUGGUGGUGCACACCUGUAAUCCCAGCUACUUGGGAGGCUGAAGCACAAGAAUCGCUUGAACCCAGGAGGUGGAGGUUGCAGUGAGCCAAGAUCAUGCCACUGCACUCUAGCCUGGGCAACAAAGUGAGACUCAGUCUCAA